rnacentral:hammerhead_ribozyme from 1 species
GUACUGCUGAAGAGUCCCAAACUAGAACGGAGUACAGCUGUCCAGUAC